UGUUUACUUGUUCCUCUGCUCAUGUGAUCUAACAACAUCAAGAGCUUGUUCACUUGUUCCUCUGCUCAUGUGAUCUAUGAUCACAGUCCCACUCGGCAUCCUUGUCAGGGCAAAUGGUGUUGAGUGAGACACAGUUUGCCCUGGCAAGGAUUUAUGCCCAAGGAUUUAUUUUUGACCUUCUCUAAAAUAAGAGAACAAUUGGGCAUAAAUCUGACAUCAGAAAUGGCAACACACAAAAAUCUGUCCUAGAAUGUUUUAAUCUCCCUUGACACACUAUGAACAACCUGAAAGUGACUAUUGAUAGAAAAAAAAGACAAGACACAACGAAAUUUGAACGAGAGACAGCAGGGAUAAGAAACAUAUACACGCUUGACAGUUUGUCAAUAGGAAUGAAACAUUGACCAGGGGCUCCUAACUCAUCACACAAUAUUAAUAUUAAAACUCACAAUAAGAGCAAUAUUAAAAACACAAGUGAAAUAACACAAUACAAUAACCCCCUUUUUAAAAAUCCCCUUGGACAAACCAGUCAAUUAAAGGAAAGCCUUUGCAGAAGGACAGCAAAUAUGGGGCCAGACUAACCUCUUGCAGGAGGGAGUUCCAGAGUCAGACAGGCUUGCUUCCCUAAAGGAGAUACCAAGGUUAAAUUACAGUCGCAAGUAAGAUAUGCCUUAUAAAUCUUAGGGCGUGAACUCAUGAAGUCAACCUGAUCAGUGUGCAUUGAGCAUGAGUGGCUAGUUCAGGUGAUUCUACCAUGGCCUCGGCUCUCCUGUUUAUUGCUUCAGCUCUGCUCUGCUCAGGACAGGUGGUGGAGAGCCUUUACUGCAAAGAGUGCUUGGUGGAAACAGAUGAUGGGCGCUGCUUGAUUACUGCUGGCACAUGUAAGGCUGCUGAAACAUGCAUGACAAUCAUGAUUUACGCAGAAAAAGAGGUGAAAUUCCGUGUCUACGGCUGUUUUGUGUCUGAUCACUAUCACUGUGGGAUGAGAAAGAAGACGGGUGGCCAUACAUUAAAUGUCCGGUGCUGUGCAGGCAGGCAUCUAUGCAACAAAAAAUUCCAUUUCUGAUUGCUGUUUACGGUGUACACCCUUCUUCACUUUGCAAAGUCUGCAGAAUCAGAGCUUCGAAUGCCACUUUUAAAAGCAGGAUUUUUUUUCAUGUUUCUAGAAUUAUCAUUUAAAAAAAGAAAAGAUUUUGUUCUUUGCAAGUGCUGCUUCUUGUAACGCGUUGUACUUCUUUUUUCAUCUUGGGGAAUAGGAAAUGCUAGGAUUUGUAUGAAAAAUUUCUAGCAAAAUGUCUUUUCAUGGUAACUUUUAAAUAUAUUUACAGAACUUUGCUCACCACACAAAUAAAGUAGCAGUGUAACGACUAAUUUAGUUAGUU
rnacentral:lncRNA from 1 species